rnacentral:rRNA from 1 species
GGGAUCAUUAAUGAAUGGCCUCUGUGCCUUCAACCUUACAAACCUGUGGAAGCUAUAUGUGCUUCGGCGCUCAGGCGUCGUUUUUAUGCUACAAGUCAGUCUUUGUGUCUGAAUCAAACAAAAGAAAUAAAACUUUCAACAAAGGAUCUCUUGGCUCUCGCAUCGAUGAAGAACGCAGCGAAGCGCGAAAUGUAGUGUGAAUCGCAGAACAUUGUGAAUCAUCGAAUCUUUGAACGCACAUUGCGCCUCUAGUAACUUGGAGGCAUGCCUGUCUGAGCGUCAUUUAAAACCAUAAACCUGAAUGGGUUUGUAUUGGGCAUCGCCGUACGGCGUAGCCUCAAAGACAUUGGUCUUGAACGCGGACGAGCUCCUUUAGGACAGACCGUGUGAGGACUUUAAACAUCUGACUUGACCUCAGAUCAGGUAGGACUACCGCCUGAACUUAAGCAUAUCAAUAAGGCGAGGAACAGAAACCAACAGGGAUUCCCCUAGUAGUGGCGAAUGAAGCGGGAAAAGCUCAAGUUUGAAAUCUGGUGGGCUCGUCCCCUCAGAGUUGUAAGCUGAAGAGGCAUUGACCGACGUUGUCCGGGCCCAAUUUCCUUGGAACAGGAGGUCAUGGAGGGUGAGAACCCCGUCUGUGGCUCGGGUGCUGUGGUCCCUGUGUCGUGCCCUCGAAGAGUCGGGUUGUUUGGGAAUGCAGCUCAAAAUGGGUGGUAAAUUUCAUCUAAAGCUAAAUAUUGGCGAGAGACCGAUAGCGAACAAGUACCGUGAGGGAAAGAUGAAAAGAACUUUGGAAAGAGAGUUAAACAGUACGUGAAAUUGCUGAAAGGGAAACGCUUGAAGUCAGUCGCGUUGUCCAGAGAUCAACCUUGCUUUUGCUUGGUGCACUUUCUGGUUCAACGGGUCAGCAUCAAUUUUGACUAUUGGAAAAAGGUUGAGGGAAUGUGGCAUCUUUGGAUGUGUUAUAGCCCUUGGUUGUAUACAAUGGUUGGGAUUGAGGAACUCAGCACGCCGCAAGGCCGGGUU